CAAGGAGUGUGUACCAAAAACAAUAGAGCACUAAGUGAGGAUUUGUGAUAGAUAGAGUUUGUUCUUUUUGUUUUAAGAGGGAGACUUUGAUAUCUCAUUUGUAACUCCUAUUUGAAACUCUUCUUAUAAUCCUCUGUUCUUAUUUCAUAGUAGAGCCGCAUUAUUCCUUAGUGAAAUCCAUAUCCAAGUUUUGCUAUUUUUCAUUAUCCUGGGCAAUUCUUUCCUAACAAUAGUCUAUUUGGUAUUUAUCUGAUCCAUGUUGUGUGAAAAGAGUGCUGUAAUUGCAUGGUUUAUGUGUGUAGAUCCUCUACUAUUUCUGCCUAAUCCAAUUAUUACAAAACUAUGAUUUUCGCGUUAAGCAUUUGAUAUAUUUUUCUUACGUUCAGGGACGGACCCAUAUGGGGUCAUUUGACCCCACAAAAUCCCCCCCUUUUUCUUUUUUUUGAUGCACUCAUCGGGAUACCAAAUGAAGUCAAAAUAUUGCAUUCUUAAUACCAUUUCGAAGUACUCAUGACCUAAUUUUUCACUCAUUAAUGACAUGCGAAGUGGUCAAAUAUAGCAAAAGUUAUGACAUGUUAAAGUAGGGCGUUUGAAAUUAGUAUUUUGAGAAUUUCGAUAAUAUCCUAACUUUAAAAAUUCGUUUGCGAUCAUGUGCUAUCUGAAUCCACAAAUCGUCUAUACCAUGUAAAAGUUUGUUUCGAAAAACUACAUCGUUUUCAUAUUAAAUGGUCCAAACGGAUAUCGAAAAUAGUUAAAUAUGUAUCAAACGUACACCUCAAAAAAGACGUCUAACUCGUUUUUUAUUUUAAAAAAUUCAAUUAAUUAUUAUUUUUGCACGAUAAAUUUUUCAAUAUAAUUUAUAUCGUUUCAUCCGGAAGUCUUACAUGAAAUAUGACGUAAAUUUUUUAGGGUCGUUACGGAUUAAAUGCAAUUUGAAUUACUUUCGAAUUAUAUUUGCUUUAAAUUUGAAUUUCAUUUACUUUCUGAACUAAACUUAAAUUUUAUUUCAAUUCAUUUAAUUUCUAUAUACAAUUUAAUUUACUCAAUGUUAGCUUAGCAUUUGUCAAUGAAAUGAUAAACAAAACUAUACAAGUAGCAAAAUUUAUUUAAUAAUAUUAAUAAUGAUGUAAUUAUACGACGUUUUCAAAAUGUCAAAAUGCAUAUAAACUUAUUUUCAUUGAUAUUAUGUUGUUUAUUAAAAAAAUUAUUUUUAAAAUUUUGACCCCACAAUAUUAAAGGUCUAGGUCCGCCCAUGCUUACGUUCUUAUGAUUAUUUCGACUUUCAGCUGCAUCUUAGUUUUAAGUUAAUUGCUUGAGUGAACACUUUGCAUAAUGUAAGUUCAUUUAUAAUCAGAGGUCUAUAUCCAUCUAUUCUGAGACAUGUAAAAUUUUGUUGUUGCUUCGAGUUAAAAGCUCUAUUCAAAUUGGUUACCUAUUAAUGUGCCAAGUUUUCUCAUGUUAUAUAUCAUAUCAGGUGAAGAACCUCCUGAGUCUUUGUUUAUGAAGGAUCUAAGGAGACGAGGGAUGACCCCUACUUCAUGGAUUGAGGAGAAAAAUAGGAGCAUUGAGGGAGAUGAUGCUAUGAAGUUCAGGGAAGAAGAUGGGGUUGGGGUUCCUCGAUAAGAAAUGGAGUAAUGACUGAUUAUGAAAGAAACCUAUAUAAUCAAAGGGAAACAUCAAUGGCACUGAAUAGUGAAGGCCUUGAGGUGGGCAAUAACUUAGAAGAUUUUCUUCAAAAUAAACUAUGACACUUGCAUGUAGUUUCAUUCUCUGUCUCACUUCUUGUUUUCUCCAUGUUUUGGUGACCCUGAAAUUAUUGUUGUUCUCCAUUGUAUGCAGUACUUCUCUUUCUUCCUUCAAGUGAAAAAAGGGGAAAACUCCCAGAAAAAGAACAACAUACAGCUAUCAAAAAAAGAAAAAGAAAAGAACAAAAAGAAAAAAAAGUAUAUUCAUACUUAUUCUCGAGUUUAAUCGUGAAAUUGCGAAGCUUUUGUUUGUUUUUUAUAUUGUAAUUUUUGAAAUCUUAGACUGAUCAAUAGAAGUACUGGUUUUGUUCACUUCUAAACUCAUUUCUAAGUAAUGUUGUGUUUAAUGUCAA
rnacentral:lncRNA from 1 species